rnacentral:rRNA from 1 species
GACGAACGCUGGCGGCGUGCCUAAUACAUGCAAGUCGAACGCUUCUUUCCUCCCGAGUGCUUGCCCUCAAUUGGAAAGAGGAGUGGCGGACGGGUGAGUAACACGUGUGUAACCUACCCAUCAGAGGGGGAUAACACUUGGAAACAGGUGCUAAUACCGCAUAACAGUUUAUGCCGCAUGGCAUAAGAGUGAAAGGCGCUUUCGGGUGUCGCUGAUGGAUGGACCCGCGGUGCAUUAGCUAGUUGGUGAGGUAACGGCUCACCAAGGCCACGAUGCAUAGCCGACCUGAGAGGGGGAUCGGCCACACUGGGACUGAGACACGGCCCAGACGCCGAAGGGAGGCAGCAGUAGGGAAUCUUCGGCAAUGGACGAAAGUCUGACCGAGCAACGCCGCGUGAGUGAAGAAGGUUUUCGGAUCGUAAAACUCUGUUGUUAGAGAAGAACAAGGACGUUAGUAACUGAACGUCCCCUGACGGUAUCUAACCAGAAAGCCACGGCUAACUACGUG